rnacentral:rRNA from 1 species
GUUAUAUGGUCAAGUGAAGAAGCGCAUACGGUGGAUGCCUUGGCAGUCAGAGGCGAUGAAAGACGUGGUAGCCUGCGAAAAGCUUCGGGGAGUCGGCAAACAGACUUUGAUCCGGAGAUCUCUGAAUGGGGGAACCCACCUAGGAUAACCUAGGUAUCUUGUACUGAAUCCAUAGGUGCAAGAGGCGAACCAGGGGAACUGAAACAUCUAAGUACCCUGAGGAAAAGAAAUCAACCGAGAUUCCCUUAGUAGUGGCGAGCGAACGGGGAUUAGCCCUUAAGCUUCAUUGAUUUUAGCGGAACGCUCUGGAAAG